AUGGCGCUACUGACUCCGACGAGAUCUCCUAUUUCCAACAUAUGCAGCCGCCUCGCUGUUCUGGCCCCAUGUGCGGACCCGUGGCUAACCCUAGCCAUCUCUAUCUCCGACGGUGACGCCUCCUCUUCCUCUUGCAGCCCCGUCCUCGUCCUUGCUGGUGCUCCACAUGUAUAUCCGACGGUGACGGCGACCGACGGGCUGUGGGUCUACCAGAAGGCGCGGCAGGCGACAGCGCAAGGCCGCUCGCAGCAGGGCGCGUGGUCGAUGCGUGCGGGUGGUAGCCGGCGAGGACAUGUUGAUGUUCAUCCGGGGCACACGUGGCCACUAUUUUGUCUCACCGGACAAAACCUGAAAAUGAUGGGAGGCCGCCACCGCAACAGACCGUCGGUGGCCAUGUGCGGGUGUCUUCCGGGAUCCAGCUGUGGUCGUCGCCGUCAUAUGGGUACCAGGGGAGAUGGAUGCUAG
rnacentral:rRNA from 1 species